GCCGGGCGCGGUGGCGCGCGCCUGUAGUCCCAGCUACUCGGGAGGCUGAGGCAGGAGGGUCGCUUGAGCCCAGGAGUUCUGGGCUGUAGUGCGCUAUGCCGAUCGGGUGUUCGCACUAAGUUCGGCAUCAAUAUGGUGACCUCCCGGGAGCGGGGUCCACCAGUUUGCCUAAGGAGGGGUGAACCGGCCCAGGUCGGAAACGGAGCAGGUCAAAAUAACACCGGUGUUCCUCACAGAGCUGAAACAAACGGUCCUAAAAUUUGGACAGAACCAGAAAAGACUCUGAAUAGCCAAAGCAAUCUU
rnacentral:SRP_RNA from 1 species